AAAAGCUAAACACAUACAACUCACACUUUAUUAUUGGUUUUGAUUUUUUAAAAAAAAUACCACGAAAAUGUCUGCUAAUCUAUUCAGCAACACUAGAAGAUCCAUAGUUUCUACGCAUGAGCGAUGAGCAUACUUCGCUUCUACGUGGAAUCUCUCUCAACGUCGAGUCUUGUGGGUGUGACUUGUCAGGUAUUGCCUGUGCAUUCGCGUUCACGCCUCAAUCGCUUUCACACAACGGGUACGCUUAGAGGCAUGAAAAUCACGGUUAUGUAUCAUGUUAAAGAGAUUAUCAUAUCCCAUUCGCCUGUCAAAUUAUACCAAACAUUCAACAGAAGCCCAGAUGAAAUUUCCAGACUCUUCAGCAAAAUGAUAGACUAUUUGUACAAUACACACAAGCAUCAUCUUCGUCAGCUGAACCACUGGUGGCUACAGCAGGCAGGUAACCUGCCGUUCCCAAGCCCAGAUGAAGGAGGAGGGUUGCAAACCUACCAUGUAAAACAACCAUGCUACAGAAACCGCGAAUGCCACACAAGCACGAGAGUCUGACGGGAAGAUCCCUCUUCAGAAAGGCCUGUGACGUGUGUUGGCUAAAGCCCUCGGGAGGUCAGCUCACUGACCCAUCUUCUCAUGGUCAAGGCAAAAAUCCAGGAUAGGGACCUGGAACAUCAGAACCCUAUACAAGAGGGUUGCAGCCCUAUGCGCCACUGGGAGGGAAUAGGAAGAAGAAGAAUACUCAGGUGGAUAAAAGCAACAAUGAUAUUUUACUGGGAGCAUACUGUCCUCUUUCUGGCUUCACAAUGUGCUGUCACACUACCUUUGUUAUUUUUUAUGUUUAUGUAUUGUUUGACGUGCAAGAUUAGUCUUCUCUUACCUUCAAUUUCAUUGCUGGAUGAAGAAGGUCCAGCAACAGCUUCGUUUUCUUUUCUUUUUUGUGACUGUAUUUCUGCAGCACAUUGCCUCUGCUCCUCUUCAUCUUUUUUGCUGAGUUUUUACCCCCCCUCUUCGUCUUCUAUACUUUCUUUAAUUCCUAUAAUUUCUAACAGCAGAUGAUCCUUUUUUAAGUUCCUCUUCAUCUUUACCUGAUCUAAAAUUGAAAGAAAUGCAUUAAUGUAGAUUUGACUUUUUUUUUUUCUCCCUCUCUCACAGACAUACUUUUGGGACCAGUCCCGAGUACUUGUGGUUUUAUGCUUUCAUUAUUUCUAAAAUGUUCACAUACUGGUUUAGAAUAAUUGUUCCAGUAUAUUUUGUUCAUUCAUGACUUACUUUGCUUCCCUUAUAUUAUGGGUGCAUUUAAAUAGUGAAGAAUUGAAAUUUGUUAGUACUAGCGAUGAAUUAAAAGUAGUAAACAUUGUAAUUACUCAACACAGAUGAGUUGAAAUUAUGACUGACAAGUAGUAAGUUGAAAUGCAGUACCUGAAACUGAGUUAGUAUUAUAUGGAUUUAGGAGCUAUUUUAGCAGCAUAAGCCAAAUGUCUUUUUUUACAUUCCAACACUUUCCUUUGGUGUAUAUAAUAAGGUUGUACACAAACUUAUUAAGUUUUAGAUUUCUCGUGGUAUGCAUCUUUCCAUUGACAGGACCAAUAGUUAUGAAUUGACUUUUUUUUAAAAAUCACUUUAACACCAUGAAAUAAAAAUGUUUUUGUGGACUCCAAA
rnacentral:lncRNA from 1 species